GCGUCCCCCAAGGAGCCGCACGUUGACGUACCAGGAGCCGCGGUCGGGCCGCAGAGUCCCGGCCUGAACUCACCUUGAGCGCGUUCAAGCGACUGACCGGCGGGCGGCGAAAGCUCAGGAGCUGGACCGCGCGGCGAUGGGACAGACCUGGGCUGUGAACUUACAGUGCUGACAGUGGCCCCUAAAGCCCCGCCCCCUGCCCGCGGAGCCAAUGCCGGGGCCGCCCCAACUAGGCCCCGCCCACAGCCUCGCCCUACUCCCUGGCCCGCCUGGGCUCCCCCUUUGGAGGCGCAGCGCGGGGGUCCCGCAGCCGCGCGGGCCCGGAGGUCCAGUUCAAGUUCGGGCGGCUGCGGGCCAGGCGGCGUCGGGUGCCUGGGCUGGACUCCGCGGACUCCGGCUGUGCCCGUCGGAACCAAAACUCUCGGUUCUAGGAGGGCCGGGUCCGGGGAGGCGCCCGCACAAGUGUAUUCAGUGACUACUAAGGAAAUGAAUGAGGCCUUAGAGGCGCCUAUGUUAAAAUAUUACAGACUUCCGAGAGCUUUCAGGAGUUUGCCGCCCCUUAGAAAAGAGGGCAUUGAGGGUGUGUGCGGGUGGAGUGGCCGGGCCAUGCCCGUGUUUGCUGUCAGGCUAAGUGGCUUCCGGGGCUGGGGUGGGACCCGUACUUAGACUCAUUCCAACAUCAGUUGAUUGGCUGGUUGGUUGGUUCAUUCAUUCUUUCAUUCAUUCAGUACGAGAAACAUUUACUGAAGGGCAGGCCCUGCACAGGAGCUGGAGCUAGACUGAAGGGAACUCUGCCCUUGCUCCUUUCAGUGAUUCAGCAGAUAAUUGUGCAUCUAUAGGUGCCAGGCGCUGUUCUUGUCGCUGGGGAUGCAGCCCCCUCUGGACUGGGACCUACUGUCCAAUGAUGGGAAAUGGAGGAAACCCAAGUCCCCAAGUAGACUGUGACACCAUUCUGAGGGAGCAAGUGCUAAGAAGAGCGGGGCAAAGGAAGGGUGGAUGGUAAUGAGAUGGAGGAAGGGGCCACAAAGGCAUGUGGGCGGCCUCUAGAAGCUGGAAAAGUCAAGGAAACAGAUUCUCCCCCAGAACCUCCAAAAGGAACAUGGCCCAGCUGACCGCUUGAUUUUAGACCCAUGUUGGACUUCAAACCAACAGAACAGGAGCAUCAGUCAGGUGGAUUCUGCCAGGACUGGCCUGGUGGCUCAGAGGAAAACUGAGGCCUGGACAGUGGAGGAAUGGGGCCCUGGGCCAAAUUGUCGUAUGCGGUCAUGUCACUUGGCUGGGGCCCGAGGAAUCCCUGGGGAGCCGGCUGCUGGCGGCUCUCAGCUCUACUGAAUGGACGGGAUCUUUGCAGAUACGCCCAGUGUUGCCAUGGCAGCCCUGCAAUUACUGAACAUUUAUAAAACAGGAUUUCAUUGACUAAAAUUGGCUUUUUUAUGCAACUUCUCAGGCAGUGUGUAAAGGCCCAAGUAUGGGUGGUGAGGCUGGGAUCCCGAGCCAUGGGAGGGCCAGGGUGUCCUGCAUUUCUGACCCAGUAGACACUCAGGCCAAGUGCCCCCUGCCCAGCCUGACCCCAUGUCCAGGGUCUGCUGCCUCAGCCAGGGCCUGGACUAUUCUUGCUGGAAGGACUCCUGGACACCCUGGUGUCUGAGGGGGUAGGACCCUGAGGGACAUUCAGGACAGGUUAGAGGCAAGGAAGCCUGGGUGGAGCAAUGCCCCAAGGGGCUUCCCUGGCGGUCCAGUGGUUAAGACUCUGUGCCUGCAAUGCAGGGAGCAUGGGUUCGAUCCUGGUCGGGGAACUAAGAUCGCACAUGCUGUGCGGCG